CAGCUCUUUGCUCCGAUCAUCUAGAUGCUCAUUUUCAGCUAGCUUCAAAAACAUCUUCAUCUUCAUCAAUUGGUUGGCCUCCUUAUGUUUUUUGGCUAUUUUUCCAAUUGUUCCAACUCCUGCUCCUUAAAUUGCUUGAAUUCAUUCCACUUUUCAUUAACGACUUCCAAGCUUGAACCCUUCCCUUUUUCUUUAGCUGCAUCCCUUCCUAUGGGAUGAACACUAAAUCCUACAGAGUUUGAGUCACUUGCAUCAUUAUAGUGUACUCUCUUAGAUCCAUUGCUUCCAGACCCAAUAUUUCCCCUUACCUGACUACCAUAACGUGGUUGAUCACGGACAACAAGCCAUUCUGACAUAAAAUUGAAAUGCCCAUUUUUACCACUUGAAUAUAUUUUAUGUGCUUUUGCCGAUAAAUCAUUCUCCGCCACCCGU